rnacentral:rRNA from 1 species
CAGUAGCCGCGGUAAUACGAAGGGGGCUAGCGUUGUUCGGAUUUACCGGGCGUAAAGGGCGCGUAGGCGGACUGAUAAGUCAGGGGUGAAAUCCCAAGGCUCAACCUUGGAACUGCCUUUGAUACUGUUUGUCUUGAGUUCGAGAGAGGUAAGUGGAACUGCGAGUGUAGAGGUGAAAUUCGUAGAUAUUCGCAAGAACACCAGUGGCGAAGGCGGCUUACUGGCUCGAAACUGACGCUGAGGCGCGAAAGCGUGGGGAGCAAACAGGAUUAGAUACCCCUGUAGUCCCUGUCUCUUAUAU